UACGGGGGAUGCAAGCGUUAUCCGGAAUCAUUGGGCGUAAAGCGCCUGUAGGUUGUUUAGUAAGUCUGUUGUUAAAGACUAAGGCUUAACCUUAGGAAAGCGAUGGAAACUACUAGACUUGAGUAUGGCAGGGGUAGAGGGAAUUUCUAGUGUAGCGGUGAAAUGCGUAGAUAUUAGAAAGAACACCAGCGGCGAAAGCGCUCUACUGGACCAUUACUGACACUCAGAGGCGAAAGCUAGGGGAGCAAAAGGGAUUAGAUACCCCUGUAGUCCUAGCCGUAAACGAUGGAUACUAGGUGUUGUGUAUAUUAUACAGUGCCGUAGCUAACGCGUUAAGUAUCCCGCCUGGGGAGUACGCUCGCAAGGGUG
rnacentral:rRNA from 1 species